rnacentral:lncRNA from 1 species
GGGUGGACUGGGGGAUCUCGGAGGUCUCUUCCAACCUUAAUGACACUGUAGUUCAGUUUAGGGUCAUGGUGGGAAUGGGUUGGGGUUGGACUGGGGGAGACCUUGGAGGUCUUCUCCAAUCUUGGUGAUUCUACAAUUCUAUGACCACAGGAGCCCAAGCUGCCUCCUCAUGUUCUGCCCACCCCACGGACAGGGGAUGAGCAGGGCAAUCCCUGCAGCACGUUGGGAUA